CUACGCCGACGCCCCCCUCGAAACCCUAGCACCACUUUCCCUUCCCCUCACUCGCCCCCAUCUCCCUCUGCCCCGCUCACACCCGCCACCGUCCGCGACCCCCAUGGCCGCACCGCUGUGAAGCUCGCGGACACGGUCGACCCGGACGCCUAGGAGCUUGACCAUCGGCCUCGUAAUCCCCGUCUACAUCGUCCCCGCCUCUGGAUCGAGGCCAAAACGCUGCCUCGCCGUCGCUAGCCUCCUGCAUCUCCAUCACGGGCGCCGCAUCUCGCCGUUGACCUGUGCAUCCUCGACCAGCCACGGCCGCCCCGAGCACACCAUCAAGCUCCGUGUAGACUUCGAGACUGACGCCGAUGUUGCCCCUGUGUUUGACUACUCACCGACGACCCUUCUUUUGCGGCAAAGCUUCCAAUGACGGAUCCCAGGAGCCAGACAACACCACCGACGAUUACUACUACACCGAGGGUGCCUACUACUACGUGGAGACCGCCAACGACCAGGAGUAGUUAGGAG